rnacentral:misc_RNA from 1 species
GACCUUCUCAACCACAUCGUUUGUGUUGUGUGGCUUGGAUGUGGGGGUUUGCAGGCUUUCAACCAAAAGCCGGCUCCCCUGAAAUGCAUUAGUGGUGUCUGGGCUGCUAUUGGUGUGAUUAAAUAUUAUAUCUAUGCCUUUGGUGAUGCUGGUCAGCACUGCUUACAAACGGAUGGUGAAUCAUCAUUUGACAA